ACUCCUACGGGAGGCAGCAGUGGGGAAUUUUGGACAAUGGGCGCAAGCCUGAUCCAGCCAUGCCGCGUGAGUGAAGAAGGCCUUCGGGUUGUAAAGCUCUUUCAGCCGGGAAGAAAACGCAUGGGUUAAUACCCUGUGUGGAUGACGGUACCGGAAUAAGAAGCACCGGCUAACUACGUGCCAGCAGCCGCGGUAAU
rnacentral:rRNA from 1 species